rnacentral:rRNA from 1 species
AUUGAACGCUGGCGGCAUGCCUUACACAUGCAAGUCGAACGGCAGCACGGGGGCAACCCUGGUGGCGAGUGGCGAACGGGUGAGUAACAUAUCGGAACAUACCCUAGAGUGGGGGAUAACGUAGCGAAAGUUACGCUAAUACCGCAUACGAUUUAAGGAUGAAAGUGGGGGAUCGCAAGACCUCAUGCUCCUGGAGCGGCCGAUAUCUGAUUAGCUAGUUGGUGGGGUAAAGGCCUACCAAGGCAUCGAUCAGUAGCUGGUCUGAGAGGACGACCAGCCACACUGGGACUGAGACACGGCCCAGACUCCUACGGGAGGCAGCAGUGGGGAAUUUUGGACAAUGGGGGCAACCCUGAUCCAGCAAUGCCGCGUGAGUGAAGAAGGCCUUCGGUUGUAAAGCUCUUUUGUUCUAGGGAAGGAAACGGUUA